UGUAUGACUCACUCUCUUCCCCUCCCUCUCCCUCUCUUUUGGUAUAUGCCUGCCCUGGGAGAACACACAAGCUCUGCUGUCAGCCAUGUGUUAGGAAUGAAGCAUGCCGGGCCUCACCUCGGACCUGCACACUGCCCCUCAUUAUGUUCAUGAUCGGCAAAGUGCUGGGCACACAGAAGGACAAUGUGAUGAAGCGCCAUCACAUGGCUGGUAGCCUGUGGUGAGUCACCGGACUUCUCGACUCCCACCUCACUAGGGUGGAAGGAACAGUAACCACAAGGCUCUGCAACUCGGGCUGCGCCCC
rnacentral:lncRNA from 1 species